UUGAAGAGUUUGAUCAUGGCUCAGAUUGAACGCUGGCGGCAGGCCUAACACAUGCAAGUCGAACGGUAACAGGAAGCAGCUUGCUGCUUCGCUGACGAGUGGCGGACGGGUGAGUAAUGUCUGGGAAACUGCCUGAUGGAGGGGGAUAACUACUGGAAACGGUAGCUAAUACCGCAUAACGUCGCAAGACCAAAGAGGGGGACCUUCGGGCCUCUUGCCAUCGGAUGUGCCCAGAUGGGAUUAGCUUGUUGGUGGGGUAACGGCUCACCAAGGCGACGAUCCCUAGCUGGUCUGAGAGGAUGACCAGCCACACUGGAACUGAGACACGGUCCAGACUCCUACGGGAGGCAGCAGUGGGGAAUAUUGCACAAUGGGCGCAAGCCUGAUGCAGCCAUGCCGCGUGUAUGAAGAAGGCCUUCGGGUUGUAAAGUACUUUCAGCGGGGAGGAAGGGAGUAAAGUUAAUACCUUUGCUCAUUGACGUUACCCGCAGAAGAAGCACCGGCUAACUCCGUGCCAGCAGCCGCGGUAAUACGGAGGGUGCAAGCGUUAAUCGGAAUUACUGGGCGUAAAGCGCACGCAGGCGGUUUGUUAAGUCAGAUGUGAAAUCCCCGGGCUCAACCUGGGAACUGCAUCUGAUACUGGCAAGCUUGAGUCUCGUAGAGGGGGGUAGAAUUCCAGGUGUAGCGGUGAAAUGCGUAGAGAUCUGGAGGAAUACCGGUGGCGAAGGCGGCCCCCUGGACGAAGACUGACGCUCAGGUGCGAAAGCGUGGGGAGCAAACAGGAUUAGAUACCCUCUGGUAGUCCACGCCGUAAACGAUGUCGACUUGGAGGUUGUGCCCUUGAGGCGUGGCUUCCGGAGCUAACGCGUUAAGUCGACCGCCUGGGGAGUACGGCCGCAAGGUUAAAACUCAAAUGAAUUGACGGGGGCCCGCACAAGCGGUGGAGCAUGUGGUUUAAUUCGAUGCAACGCGAAGAACCUUACCUGGUCUUGACAUCCACGGAAGUUUUCAGAGAUGAGAAUGUGCCUUCGGGAACCGUGAGACAGGUGCUGCAUGGCUGUCGUCAGCUCGUGUUGUGAAAUGUUGGGUUAAGUCCCGCAACGAGCGCAACCCUUAUCCUUUGUUGCCAGCGGUCCGGCCGGGAACUCAAAGGAGACUGCCAGUGAUAAACUGGAGGAAGGUGGGGAUGACGUCAAGUCAUCAUGGCCCUUACGACCAGGGCUACACACGUGCUACAAUGGCGCAUACAAAGAGAAGCGACCUCGCGAGAGCAAGCGGACCUCAUAAAGUGCGUCGUAGUCCGGAUUGGAGUCUGCAACUCGACUCCAUGAAGUCGGAAUCGCUAGUAAUCGUGGAUCAGAAUGCCACGGUGAAUACGUUCCCGGGCCUUGUACACACCGCCCGUCACACCAUGGGAGUGGGUUGCAAAAGAAGUAGGUAGCUUAACCUUCGGGAGGGCGCUUACCACUUUGUGAUUCAUGACUGGGGUGAAGUCGUAACAAGGUAACCGUAGGGGAACCUGCGGUUGGAUCACCUCCUU
rnacentral:rRNA from 1 species